rnacentral:rRNA from 1 species
CGUAGGUGGCAAGCGUUGUCCGGAUUUAUUGGGUUUAAAGGGUGCGUAGGCGGUUUUCUAAGUCAGCAGUGAAAUACGGCAGCUCAACCGUCGAGGUGCUGUUGAUACUGGGGAACUUGAGUACUGAUGAGGUAGGCGGAAUGGACGGUGUAGCGGUGAAAUGCUUAGAGAUCGUCCAGAACACCGAUAGCGAAGGCAGCUUACUAAGGAGUAACUGACGCUGAGGCACGAAAGUGUGGGGAUCAAACAGGAUUAGAUACCCUGGUAGUCCACACUGUAAACGAUGAUUACUCGAUGUGUGCGAUACACAGCACGCGUCUUAGCAAAAGCGAUAAGUAAUCCACCCGGGGAGUACGCCGGCAACGGUG